rnacentral:rRNA from 1 species
GACGAACGCUGGCGGCGUGCCUAAUACAUGCAAGUAGAACGCACAGUUUAUACCGUAGCUUGCUACACCAUAAACUGUGAGUUGCGAACGGGUGAGUAACGCGUAGGUAACCUGCCUGGUAGCGGGGGAUAACUAUUGGAAACGAUAGCUAAUACCGCAUAAUAUUAAUUAUUGCAUGAUAAUUGAUUGAAAGAUGCAAUUGCAUCACUACCAGAUGGACCUGCGUUGUAUUAGCUAGUAGGUGAGGUAACGGCUCACCUAGGCGACGAUACAUAGCCGACCUGAGAGGGUGCUCGGCCACACUGGGACUGAGACACGGCCCAGACUCCUACGGGAGGCAGCAGUAGGGAAUCUUCGGCAAUAGACGAAAGUCUGACCGAGCAACGCCGCGUGAGUGAAGAAGGUUUUCGGAUCGUAAAGCUCUGUUGUAAGAGAAGAACGGGUGUGAGAGUGGAAAGUUCACACUGUGACGGUAUCUUACCAGAAAGGGACGGCUAACUACGUG